CAGGAAACCAGUAUGACAGACAAGCAUAUGACUACUGGCAGGAUCAACCAGGUAGCACGUCCUCAUCGACGAGCCGACAUGGAGACUGGCACACGCCAGCCAGCUAGUGGCAUGAAGUGGCAAUCACCGAGCCGACUGUCGUACAUUGAGAGAGCUUUCGUUAGGGACGCGACCGCAACGGGUCACGAGCCUUUAUCAUUUGCAACAUCCGAAACCAAUAGUGCGAGCGAGGUGGCCUUGGAAGCACCGGGCACGUAGGGCACCAGCACCACGAGGCAACGCCGCACGAACUAUUAGGCCGCAGCGGAACUCCCUUGGGGGUCCACAGCGAGGCAACCGUGUAUGAAGCACAACUUCCCGUAGUUUGGGUACCAGCAUGCAAGCACUCGUCGAUGGAGCGGAAUGGUUAGAACCGCAAGAAUGAUAGGAUAUCGGCGCCAGUAGUCGGCCGCACAUCGGCGGGGGUCCUGCUGGCAGACACGAGUCCAAGACAACUCAUGCGCUCGCGUAGCCAACUGG
rnacentral:misc_RNA from 1 species